UACGGGGGGGGCAAGCGUUGUUCGGAAUUACUGGGCGUAAAGGGCUCGUAGGCGGCCAACUAAGUCAGACGUGAAAUCCCUCGGCUUAACCGGGGAACUGCGUCUGAUACUGGAUGGCUUGAGUUUGGGAGAGGGAUGCGGAAUUCCAGGUGUAGCGGUGAAAUGCGUAGAUAUCAGGAGGAACACCAGCGGCGAAGGCGGCGCUCUGGGCCGGAACUGACGCUGAGGAGCGAAAGCGUGGGGAGCGAACAGG
rnacentral:rRNA from 1 species